rnacentral:ncRNA from 2 species
CCGGGCACGUCAGGAGAGCGCUCUCCCCGAGGGAGCCACCGAAGGCGCAGGCCCAUGAUUUGAAGGUGUGGCCGAACGCUCAGGUACCCAGGACUGACGGCACGUC